GGGCAUGUAGUAUAGUUGGUUAUUGCGUCCGCUUCGCAUUGCUCCAGCGUGGUUGCGGAAGGUCUGGCGUUCGAAUCGCCACUUGUCCA